UAUGGGAUAAAGCUUGGUGGUUGUAUCAGUACAUUUUUAUUGUUGUGAUAAAACAUUAUGACCAAGACAGCUUAUAGAAGAGUUUAUUUGGGUGUAUAGUUCCAGAGAGGUAAGAGUCUGUCCUGACAAGGAAGCUGUGGCAGCAAGUGGCAGGUAUGGCUACAGGAGCAGGAAGCAGAAAGAGCAAACUAGAAACAGUUGAGGUUUUUUAAUAGGAAAGCCCACUCCCCUAAUGAUGUCCUUCCCCUAGCAGACCACAAGUCCUAACCCUCCCUACACAGCACCACCAGCUGGGGAGUUCAAAUGUCUGGGACUGCAGGGGACAUCUCAUUCAGACCACCUCAGUGGGAGAAUGCUUGCCUUCAUAGUAUGUGCAAGGCCCUAGGUUCAAUUCUAGCCAAGAAAAGAGAACAUGAGGAAAGAAAAGAAGGUGGGAGAGAGUAGAGAAAGAAGAGAAGAAGAGGAAAAAGGAAGGGAAGGGGGAGACAGAGGAAAGCAGGGAAGCAGAGGAGAGGAGAAGAGAAAGAAAAGAUUAACCAGCCUGGUUUUUAAUAGCACCCCUCCCACUCUCAGUAGUUCCCAAUUUGAGCAUUAAGUUCAAGACUGAUAGAUAUUUCUGGGUGGGUGACCAGUGUGGUCAUAAACAUGGUGACUUUUGCUCUCCGUACAACUUGUGAUUAUGAACUUGUUAGAUGAUCAGCUUCAACAGGAGAGGGCCUCCUUUAGUCUCAGGUGCCCCCUCCAGCCACCCUGGGACUCGCAGCCUCUCUGUGAUGAGACACAGGACAUUAACUGGUAUGGUUCUGCUUUGCCAAAACGUCAGUCCAUGGUUGAACUCUCCACAAUGAGAAAGAAGCUUUGAGAAUCAUUACAUGGCAUCAGGCAAGCCAGGACUGAUGGAGCCUGAGAAAGGGCCAGGAGCAUCCGCAGGUUUUGGCACCCAGUACUAACUAGUAAAAGCACCUCAUAGGUUUCUUUAAAAUGCAAACACUAAGGAAAAUCUAACUUUUUUUUAUUUAUUAAGGCCAUUCAUUUUAUUUUAUAAGUAUUUUGCCUGUAUACAUAUGUACCACAUGCAUACAAGGUCAAAAGAUAGUAUUGGGUCUUCGAACUGGAGGUACAGAUGAUUGUGAGCUGCCAUGUGGAUCCUCGAAAUUGAACCUAGGUCGUCUACAAGAGCAGGAAGUGCUCUUAACUUCUGAGCCAUCUCUCCAGCUCCAGAAAAGCUACUCAUAAAAGUCAAAUCUAAGCCAUGUGUCUGGUGAUGUACACCUUUAAUUGUAGCACAUGGAAGGCGGAAGUAGGCGGAUUGUUAUUCAUCCAAGGCCAGUCUUCUCUUAACAGUGACAAAAACAAAACCAAACCCGAAACCUGUUACUUUGCACUUUAGAGUAUAAGUGAUAGAGAAAAGACACAGAAAUUUUAGAAUCUAUACCUUAAAAUACCUUAUGGCUUAUAUGAUACUGUUGGGACCAUAUUUACUUAUGGAAUGC
rnacentral:lncRNA from 1 species